GACGAACGCUGGCGGCGUGCCUAAUACAUGCAAGUAGAACGCACAGUUUAUACCGUAGCUUGCUACACCAUAAACUGUGAGUUGCGAACGGGUGAGUAACGCGUAGGUAACCUGCCUGGUAGCGGGGGAUAACUAUUGGAAACGAUAGCUAAUACCGCAUAAUAUUGAUUAUUGCAUGAUAAUUGAUUGAAAGAUGCUAUUGCAUCACUACCAGAUGGACCUGCGUUGUAUUAGCUAGUAGGUGAGGUAACGGCUCACCUAGGCGACGAUACAUAGCCGACCUGAGAGGGUGAUCGGCCACACUGGGAAUGAGACACGGCCCAGACUCCUACGGGAGGCAGCAGUAGGGAAUCUUCGGCAAUGGACGAAAGUCUGACCGAGCAACGCCGCGGGAGUGAAGAAGGUUGUCGGAUCGUAAAGCUCUGUUGUAAGAGAAGAACGGGUGUGAGAGUGGAAAGUUCACACUGUGACGGUAUCUUACCAGAAAGGGACGGCUAACUACGUG
rnacentral:rRNA from 1 species